GAUGAUUGGUUAAAAAUACUUAAGUGUUAUGUUUAUGAGGGUGGAAUUAUGUUUUGUGUUAAUAAAGGGUGAAAUCAAUUUUUUGUUGUAUAAACAAUUCUGUUUUGUUUAAAUAAAGCUGAAGUUAUUAAGAUUAAGGUAUGGACCAGGAUUAGAGACCCUGUUACACUUUUUUAAAAAUUUAAAUACCUAGGUAGUAAACAGUUAUAAUCUUGAAACUUAAAGGAUUUGGCGGUAAUUUAGUCUAGUUAGAGGAACCUGUCCUGUAAUCGAUAAACCACGAAAAAUCUUACUUUGUUUUGAAAAUUCAGUUUAUAUACCGUCAUUAUUAGAUAACUUUAGUAAAAUGUGGAAGUUAUUGGAAUAGCUUAAGAGCUAGUAUAUUAGAUCAAGGUGUAGCUAAUAAUAAAGUAGAGAUGGGUUACAAUAAUAUUAGUUUAUAGAACGGAUUUAAAGGAGAAUGUCUUUUAAUGAAGGAGGAUUUAAAUGUAAAUAUAUUUUAAUAUGAUAUUUUGAUUGUAGCUCUAGGUUAUGUACACAUCGCCCGUCGCUCU
rnacentral:rRNA from 1 species